rnacentral:rRNA from 1 species
AGUGAACGCUGGCGGCAGGCCUAACACAUGCAAGUCGAGCGGAAGAAGAGUACUUGCUCCUGGUUUCGGCGGCGGACGGGUGGGUAAUGCCGAGGAAUCUGCCUGGUAGUGGGGGAUAACGUCCGGAAACGGGCGCUAAUACCGCAUACGUCCUGAGGGCGAACGUGGGGAAUCAUCGGACCUCACGCUAUCACACGAGCCUAGGUCGGAUUAGCUAGUUGGUGGGGUAAAGGCCUACCAAGGCGACGAUCCGUAACUGGUCUGAGAGGAUGAUCAGUCACACUGGAACUGAGACACGGUCCAGACUCCUACGGGAGGCAGCAGUGGGGAAUAUUGGACAAUGGGCGAAAGCCUGAUCCAGCCAUGCCGCGUGUGUGAAGAAGGUCUUCGGAUUGUAAAGCACUUUUAGUUGGGAGGAAGGGCAGUAAGUUAAUACCUUGCUGUUUUGACGUUACCAACAGAAUAAGCACCGGCUAACUUCGUG